GAUGGGUAGAGCUCAGUGGUGGAGCACAUGCUUAGCAUGCACAAGGUCCUGGGUUCAAUCCCCAGCACCUUCA
rnacentral:tRNA from 1 species